rnacentral:rRNA from 1 species
UACGUAGGGUGCAAGCGUUUAAUCGGAAUUACUGGGCGUAAAGCGUGCGCAGGCGGCUUUGCAAGACAGAUGUGAAAUCCCCGGGCUCAACCUGGGAACUGCAUUUGUGACUGCAUGGCUGGAGUGCGGCAGAGGGGGAUGGAAUUCCGCGUGUAGCAGUGAAAUGCGUAGAUAUGCGGAGGAACACCGAUGGCGAAGGCAAUCCCCGUGGGCCUGCACUGACGCUCAUGCACGAAAGCGUGGGGAGCAAACAGG